GGACGUGCGUCCCAUACUGCGGGGCUUGAGUGCAGGAGAGGAUGGGGGAAUCCCGGUGUAGCGGUGAAAUGCAUUGAUAUCGGGAGGAACACCAGUGGCGAAGGCGCCCAUCUGGUCUGCUACUGACGCUUAGGCGCGAAAGCUGGGGGAGCAAACAGGAUUAGAUACCCUGGUAGUCCCAGCCGUAAACGGUGAGCACUAGGUGUGGGGGGCAUCGACCCCUUCCGUGCCGCAGCUAACGCAUUAAGUGCUCCGCCUGGGGAGUACGACCGCAAGGUUGAAACUCAAAGGAAUUGACGGGGGCCCGCACAAGCGGUGGAGCAUGUGGUUUAAUUCGAUGCAACGCGAAGAACCUUACCCAGGCUUGACAUGCACUGGAUCGGUGUGGAAACACACCUUCUCCGCAAGGGGCCGGUGCACAGGUGCUGCAUGGCUGUCGUCAGCUCGUGUCGUGAGAUGUUGGGUUAAGUCCCGCAACGAGCGCAACCCUUGCCUCUAGUUGCUAGCAAGUGAAGUUGAGCACUCUAGAGGGACUGCCGUCGAUAGGACGGAGGAAGGUGGGGAUGACGUCAAGUCCUCAUGGUCCUUACGCCUGGGGCUACACACGUGCUACAAUGGCCGGUACAAAGGGUUGCAAAGCCGCGAGGUUGAGCCAAUCCCAAAAAACCGGUCUCAGUUCGGAUUGCAGUCUGCAACUCGACUGCAUGAAGUCGGAAUCGCUAGUAAUCGCUGAUCAGCAGGCAGCGGUGAAUAUGUUCCCGGGCCUUGUACACACCGCCCGUCAAGCCACGAAAGCUGGUAGUACCCGAAGUCGC
rnacentral:rRNA from 1 species